rnacentral:rRNA from 1 species
UACGGGGGGGGUAAGCGUUGUUCGGAAUUACUGGGCGUAAAGGGCUCGUAGGCGGCCAACUAAGUCAUACGUGAAAUCCCUCAGCUUAACUGGGGAACUGCGUGUGAUACUGGAUGGCUUGGAUGUGGGAGAGGGAUGCGGAAUUCCAGGUGUAGCGGUGAAAUGCGUAGAUAUCUGGAGGAACACCCGUGGCUAAGGCGGUUCUCUAGUACGGUACUGACGCUGAGACGCGAAAGCGUGGGGAGCGAACAGG